rnacentral:rRNA from 1 species
GACGAACGCUGGCGGCGUGCUUAACACAUGCAAGUCGAGCGAGGCCCACCUUUCGGGGUGGUGUCCUAGCGGCGAACGGGUGAGUAACACGUGGGCAACCUGCCCCCGGCUCUGGGAUAACCCCAAGAAAUUGGGGCUAAUACCGGAUAUGACCGCUGACCGCAUGGUCUGGUGGUGGAAAGAUUUAUCGGCUGGGGAUGGGCCCGCGGCCUAUCAGCUUGUUGGUGGGGUAGUGGCCUACCAAGGCGACGACGGGUAGCCGGCCUGAGAGGGUGACCGGCCACACUGGGACUGAGACACGGCCCAGACUCCUACGGGAGGCAGCAGUGGGGAAUAUUGCGCAAUGGGCGGAAGCCUGACGCAGCGACGCCGCGUGGGGGAUGACGGCCUUCGGGUUGUAAACCUCUUUCAGCAGGGACGAAGCCGUGAGGUGACGGUACCUGCAGAAGAAGCACCGGCCAACUACGUGCCAGCCGCCGCCGUAAGAC